GUGUCAGCAGCCGCGGUAAUACGUAGGUGGCAAGCGUUAUCCGGAAUUAUUGGGCGUAAAGCGCGCGUAGGCGGUUUUUUAAGUCUGAUGUGAAAGCCCACGGCUCAACCGUGGAGGGUCAUUGGAAACUGGAAAACUUGAGUGCAGAAGAGGAAAGUGGAAUUCCAUGUGUAGCGGUGAAAUGCGCAGAGAUAUGGAGGAACACCAGUGGCGAAGGCGACUUCCUGGUCUGUAACUGACGCUGAGGUGCGAAAGCGUGGGGAGCAAACAGGAUUAGAAACCCGGGUAGUCC
rnacentral:rRNA from 1 species